rnacentral:rRNA from 2 species
GAAGUCUGAUGGAGCACGCCGCGUGAGUGAAGAAGGGUUUCGGCUCGUAAAACUCUGUUGUUAGAGAAGAACAGCCGUGAGAGCAACUGCUCACGGUAUGACGGUAUCUAACCAGAAAGUCACGGCUAACUACGUGCCAGCAGCCGCGGUAAUACGUAGGUGGCAAACGUUGUCCGGAUUUAUUGGGCGUAAAGGGAGCGCAGGCGGUUUAUUAAGUCUGAUGUGAAAGCCUUCGGCUUAACCGGAGAAGUGCAUCGGAAACUGAUAAACUUGAGUGCAGAAAAGGAUAGUGGAACUUCAUGUGUAGCGGUGAAAUGCGUAGAUAUAUGAAGGAACACCAGUGGCGAAGGCGGCUAUCUGGUCUGUAACUGACGCUGAGGCUCGAAAGCAUGGGUAGCAAACAGGAUUAGAUACCCUGGUAGUCCAUGCCGUAAACGAUGAAUGCUAGGUGUUGGAAGGUUUCCGCCUUUCAGUGCCGCAGCUAACGCAUUAAGCAUUCCGCCUGGGGAGUACGACCGCAAGGUUGAAACUCAAAGGAAUUGACGGGGACCCGCACAAGCGGUGGAGCAUGUGGUUUAAUUCGAUGCUACGCGAAGAACCUUACCAGGACUUGACAUCUUCUGCCAAUCUAAGAGAUUAGACGUUCCCUUCGGGGACAGAAUGACAGGUGGUGCAUGGUUGUCGUCAGCUCGUGUCGUGAGAUGUUGGGUUAAGUCCCGCAACGAGCGCAACCCUUGUCUUUAGUUGCCAGCAUUAAGUUGGGCACUCUAGAGAGACUGCCGGUGAUAAACCGGAGGAAGGUGGGGAUGACGUCAAAUCAUCAUGCCCCUUAUGUCCUGGGCUACACACGUGCUACAAUGGGCGAUACAACGAGUUGCGAAACCGCGAGGUCAAGCUAAUCUCUUAAAGUCGUUCUCAGUUCGGAUUGCAGUCUGCAACUCGACUGCAUGAAGUUGGAU